GACGAACGCUGGCGGCGUGCCUAAUACAUGCAAGUCGAACGCUGAAGGAGGAGCUUGCUUCUCUGGAUGAGUUGCGAACGGGUGAGUAACGCGUAGGUAACCUGCCUGGUAGCGGGGGAUAACUAUUGGAAACGAUAGCUAAUACCGCAUAAGAGUAGAUGUCGCAUGACAUUUGCUUAAAAGGUGCAAUUGCAUCACUACCAGAUGGACCUGCGUUGUAUUAGCUAGUUGGUGAGGUAACGGCUCACCAAGGCAACGAUACAUAGCCGACCUGAGAGGGUGAUCGGCCACACUGGGACUGAGACACGGCCCAGACUCCUACGGGAGGCAGCAGUAGGGAAUCUUCGGCAAGGGACGGAAGUCUGACCGAGCAACGCCGCGUGAGUGAAGAAGGGUGUCGGAUCGUAAAGCUCGGUUGUAAGAGAAGAACGAGUGUGAGAGUGGAAAGUUCACACUGUGACGGUAGCUUACCAGAAAGGGACGGCUAACUACGUG
rnacentral:rRNA from 1 species